GGUGUGCGAUGAAACGGGAGAUUGCUGCGAAAACGCAGGUAACUUCCGCCGAGUAUGUCCGACAA
rfam:Clostridiales bacterium GWF2_36_10 gwf2_scaffold_337, whole genome shotgun sequence.